rnacentral:rRNA from 1 species
GAUGAACGCUGGCGGCGUGCCUAAUACAUGCAAGUCGAGCGAACAGAUGAGGAGCUUGCUCCUCUGACGUUAGCGGCGGACGGGUGAGUAACACGUGGAUAACCUACCUAUAAGACUGGGAUAACUUCGGGAAACCGGAGCUAAUACCGGAUAAUAUAUUGAACCGCAUGGUUCAAUAGUGAAAGACGGUUUUGCUGUCACUUAUAGAUGGAUCUGCGCCGCAUUAGCUAGUUGGUAAGGUAACGGCUUACCAAGGCAACGAUGCGUAGCCGACCUGAGAGGGUGAUAGGCCACACUGGAACUGAGACACGGUCCAGACUCCUACGGGAGGCAGCAGUAGGGAAUCUUCCGCAAUGGGCGAAAGCCUGACGGAGCAACGCCGCGUGAGUGAUGAAGGUCUUCGGAUCGUAAAACUCUGUUAUUAGGGAAGAACAAAUGUGUAAGUAACUAUGCACGUCUUGACGGUACCUAAUCAGAAAGCCACGGCUAACUACGUG